AGGAAAUUGGGUUAAAAAACAAAAUUUGUUAUCUUGACUAGCAAUCUGGAAUUUUGGGUCAAUUACUUGUCACCUUAAAGGGUGAUGCCUGGGCUUAUUUGUAGCCACUAACAGUAAUUGCUCUGCUUAUUACUACUCUGGUUGCUUAUUACAGAGUAGGUGCUGAUGCUAGUAUAUAUAUAUUUUUUCUCCCCAUUGGGUAACUGUUUCUUGCUGUGUAUAUGCUUGAGAACAUAUCUUGGCCGAAGUCUUAGCUCUCUGAAUGCCCAGAUAAAAGCAUUGUACAGAAGAAGAAUAAACUCUAGAUUGAUCUGAAGUGAACUGAUCUCAAAUGCACAGGUAGAUUCACUGAUCCUUCCACCUACCCCUGUCCAAGCAUCUGUUGUUUCAUCGUGCAUCUCCCUCCUGAGCAGGCAUGCAGAUGGGGCAGAUCCUUCACCACAGAUCGGACUUCUUUGGGAACUCUGGAGGAUUGAAACCAUGAUACCCGACACAUGACUAUAAAUGUUGCCAUCAAGCAGGAGGCUGUAUCUACUGCAUCUACUGAGGCCUGGAUGGACGAUCAAGCAAGCAAUUUAACCUCCUUGAUGAGCACUUUGAACUGCAGGCUAUCCUCCUGUGAGUUCUGCUAAUUUAGUAUAAUUAAUAAAAGCAUUCUUUGACAUUACUGCUUGAUAGUUUGCUAUGCAGAACUGUAAGCUGGUUGAAAUAAAAAUCUUU